UACGAGAGGCCCAAACGUUAUUCGGAAUUACUGGGCUUAAAGAGUUCGUAGGCGGCAUUGCAAGUAGGGUGUGAAAGCCCUCGGCUCAACCGAGGAGUUGCGCUCUAAACUGCAGUGCUUGAGGAACCUAGAGGUGAGCAGAACAGAUGGUGGAGCGGUGAAAUGCGUUGAUAUCAUCUGGAAUACCGGAGGCGAAGGCGGCUCACUGGGAGUUUUCUGACGCUGAGGAACGAAAGCCAGGGUAGCGAACGGG
rnacentral:rRNA from 1 species